UGCCUAACACAUGCAAGUCGAACGAUCUUUUCGGAGAUAGUGGCGGACGGGUGAGUAAUACAUAGAUAACCUGCCUUAAAGAGAGGGAUAACCAGCCGAAAGGUUGGCUAAUACCACAUAAUGUUGUUAUUUGAGAGAGUAAUAAAGAAAGGGGCAACUCGCUUAUAGAGGGGUCUAUGGUCGAUUAGCUAGUUGGUAUGGUAAGAGCUUACCAAGGCGACGAUCGAUAGCUGGUCUGAGAGGACGAUCAGCCACACUGGCACUGCGACACGGGCCAGACUCCUACGGGAGGCAGCAGUAAGGAAUAUUGCGCAAUGGACGACAGUCUGACGCAGCGACGCCGCGUGGGGGACGAAGGUCUUCGGAUUGUAAACCCC
rnacentral:rRNA from 1 species